GUGGCUGUAGCUCAGCUGGCAGAGCGCCACACUGUGGAUGUGGUUGUCGUGGGUUCGAGCCCCAUCAGCCACC
rnacentral:tRNA from 1 species